AUCCAACUGUUUUCUUCUCUAGAGAACAUGGAGCUGCACCCACAUAAAGGAAUUCAUCUCCUGAUGUCUCAAGCUACCAAAUCCAUUCUGAAUAGCCCAUCAGAUGGGACACGGAUGAAGUAAUCACAAGCAGGGCCUAGCACCGGGAUGGUGUCAUCAGGAUCUGACGCCAUCAAGGCCUCUGGGGCAGUGGAGAUACCUGAGAGGUGUACGUACUAUCACAGGAAGGCCCAAGACAGUGCCGCCAGGAAACUGGUUUCUUUUUCUGCACACAGUGUCUCUUGGCCACAGGUUUGCAACUCCUGGUGUGGAUACAGUCGACUUUCCGAGACUGGAAGCCCCUGCCACAGGCUGCUGUACAGGGCUUCCAGGGGCCUGCAAGCCAACACACAUCACAGGCCCCUGAUGUGCAGUUCCUUCUUAAGUCUGGCUCCACUUUUGCCUCAAAUAACUCCUUUCACCAUCAGCCACAUGGAACUGCUGAUUCUGAGAUCCCAAGCCUGGCUGGUGAUGAGAAGCAGGCCGAAGCAGACAGCUUUAAAAUGAUGUAGAUGGCCGGGCAAUUUCAUGAAGGUUCUGAUUCACUGUCUAAGACGACCUCUGGGGAGAAGGAAAAAAGGACACGGCAAGUCUUCAAUCAAUUGGGCUUAAGUCCAGAAAUGACUAUGCUUAAACCUGUAAAUGUCUGCCAAGUUUGGGUUUUUCUCCUGUGAGCAAAAAUGAAGGCUCGUGAGCUAAGGAGACAACCUGGAGCUGGACACUUUUGAGAUACUGAGUGCUUCGUCACUGAAGAUGCUGUUGCUGGGAGACCACAGAGCAGAACCUUCUAACCUGGCGUCCACGGUUAUCCAAGAAAACCACAUACUUGGAUGAAAAAGAAUUACAUCUUCAUUGUCACUAAGCUCUAACUGAAAUUUAGUAUUUUUCUUCAAUUAUAGAAACAUAGGCCACAAGUACAGUAGCAUUAAUAUCUGUGAUUUUGUUACCAAUAGAAAUCAUCAAUAUUUGCACAUCACAAUUAUGACAAGUGUCUCAAAAUAUUUAUAUUCAUCACUAUAUUAAAAUUAAAGUACAACUAUAUCUUGUUAUUUUGUAUGUUAAUAGAGAA